GGGUAUAACUGGAGAGGUUAAACUUUUCUCACAUUUAAGAUUAUGAGCAACCAGGUUGGAAGGGAAAUUGUUUAGAUAUCUGGUAGGCGGCAGCGCAUCUGCAAGAAGCAAAGGGCGGCGGCAGCGGCGCAGCUGCUUUGCUGGUGGUGAAGAGGGCGACGGCAACCGUCGAGGCGUCGAUCCCGUGUUGGCCUACCUGUUCUUCAUAAGACGGUCGGCAGCGGUGCGGCAUGUUCUCGGCGGGUAAGCGUCUGCGCGAUCCGGCGGCCGGGCCGCCGGGGGCAGCACGACGCUCCAGGCUCCACUGUUUCGGCCCUCCACAGCUCCACCGGCACCUCAUCGAUCUCCCUGUCCGUCCCGUGCGACGGUGCGGCCGGCCGGCAGAGGGCCGCUCCACAAGGAAGCAAAGCCAACACAACAUGGCCAAUGGGGAUGCAGCCGCCGAAACAGUUAAACAGCUUCGACCAGCUUAGAAAUUUCAUCUUGGACCAGCUCGGGUUUUGUGAGAAACUUCUUCCGUGGGUUUUGUUGGUUUGCUGAUGCAGAUACAGGCAGAAUGCGAUGAUUCCAAUAAAUACAUAUAACAAUGGGGGUACCCGAUCCUGAUGCGUGGGGGAUGUUGGUGGUGAUGGGCGCUGUGGUCCCCGUAUCGGCGCGCUCCGGGAGAAGCCCGCUAGUGGCGGUCUCAGAGGAGGCGCCGCAGAUCUGUCGGUGGUGGCGACCACCGUGAUCUCCGAGGCGGUGCACUCUAGGAGC